UUAUGUUUUUCAUAGAACUUAAUGAUUCUUGCGUGUAUCUCUAUUAUGCAAUUCAUGUAGGGAACUUGAAGGGAAUGUUUUGGGUUGUCGUAUGCAAUCAUCCAACCCAAUAACUUGUGGAAAAACUGAGGGUUAAUUAGUGCAAUUCCCAGUUAAUUUGGGGCGUUGAGAUUUACAAUUUAUUGAAAGAACAACUGAAAAUCAAUUUAGGUUGCAUAUG
rnacentral:lncRNA from 1 species